rnacentral:rRNA from 1 species
GACGAACGCUGGCGGCGUGCCUAAUACAUGCAAGUAGAACGCUGAAGGAGGAGCUUGCUUCUCUGGAUGAGUUGCGAACGGGUGAGUAACGCGUAGGUAACCUGCCUGGUAGCGGGGGAUAACUAUUGGAAACGAUAGCUAAUACCGCAUAAUAGUAGAUGUUGCAUGACAUUUGCUUAAAAGGUGCAAUUGCAUCACUACCAGAUGGACCUGCGUUGUAUUAGCUAGUUGGUAAGGUAACGGCUCACCAAGGCAACGAUACAUAGCCGACCUGAGAGGGGGAUCGGCCACACUGGGACUGAGACACGGCACAGACUCCUACGGGAGGCAGCAGUAGGGAAUCUUCGGCAAUGGACGGAAGACUGACCGAGCAACGCCGCGGGAGUGAAGAAGGUUUUCGGAUCGUAAAGCUCUGUUGUAAGAGAAGAACGAGUGUGAGAGUGGAAAGUUCGCACUGUGACGGUAUCUUACCAGAAAGGGACGGCUAACUACGUG